UUUUCGUGCUUCUUUCUUUUGAAUCUUCGAGUUGUCGAAUUUUUAUUUUUCUUUCUUUUUCUCUAUUCAUAAUUUUUUAUUUUUCUCUUGAUUUUGCACUUUCUUGGGCUUUGAGAGCUUUUGGGGUUUUUACCCCAAACUUAGCUUUUCAACACAGCUUUGAAUGCAUUAUCAUGACUCUGAACAAGGUGAGGAAGUG
rnacentral:lncRNA from 1 species